GGGAUCUCGAGAUCACGAAAUAGAAAAAUCACUCUUCUUUUUUAUAUCUCGUGGCCACGACAUAGCUAACUCGUGGCCACGAGAAAGAUAAAAGAGGAGAGCAAUACUUGAUAAAAGCGGAGUGCAAUUAAAAAAAGAGCGGUGCAGUAAAUAAAGGCAGAGUGCAUUAAAUAAAAGAGGAGAGCAUUUUCGUCAUCUCGAGAUCCCGACAUAGCUAACUCGUGGCCACGAGUUAGUCAGCCAAUCAAAUUGUGCGUAACAUGUGUAAAUAUUAUGUACGCAUAUAUUCUGGUUUCCAGCUUCUACUGUAAACAAAUAGAAGCCUGGCAUUGGUGGAAUCAUGGUCGACGCGAUGAUAAUGAUGGAUCAUACUUGGUUUCAAGUAAUUGAGAGUAGGUCUGGCCCAGAUCACACAAACAGUGCCUGUGCCCAAAAAACUCAAGUACCCCUCAUAAACGAGGAAGCAAGAGGGCAAUAUCAACUCCCACAGGAAAAACACCUAAACAUGAACAUAAAAGGAUUAAACUAGAUGAAAAAACCAGACACAACAGAUGGUCCAUCGAAGAGAAAUCCUUUCUGAAAGAAUACAGUCAGAAAUUACGAAAAGAUGGCGAGUCAGAAAACAGUUUCUGGAACAACUGUGCAAUGGCCAUGAACAACAUGUUUGGUGGAAAGAACAGAACAGGUUCCAGCUCUCCAAGAGAAGUAGCAGGGCAUACAUUGUCUUCUCCAUUGAGAGAAAGUAUCGCUGUAGAACUAUUAAAUGAAAUUGAAUAUGCAGCACAAGAAUGCUACAACAAGGACAGUGUUUUAGCCCAAAAGGAUUUCUGUGACCUGGCUGAAUUUAAAUGGCAUGAACUGAUUGAUGAACUAUUAGAGCAACAUCCACUGCUAGCUGAUGCUUCUCUUGGCUGUGUCUCUACCAACCUCUAAGAUAGAGAAUACACAAUCUGUUCAGAGACUAAUACUGGUCAUAUCUACUGUGUUUGGAAUGUUGAUGAAUACAGGAUACCAGGAGUUGUCGUUACAACUUGUUAGUUCAAAAGAUAAUCACAAUGACUUAAGCUAAUGAACAAUCAUGCCAAAAAUUCCAUUUUGUUUCAACUGUGUUUCUUUUUUUCUUCAAAUGUUAUGUUAAAGACCAAAAGCACAAAAUAUGAACUUAACACCUUGUGUAUAGAAUGGAAUAUUGUAAAGUGUUCAAUUUAUAUUUAAUCAUUUUAUGAGUAACUCAAGAGAAAAUUUCAUUUAAGAGUUGCCAAACUCAGCGAAUGAAUGUUUGUUUUAUAAAAUAUUCAAUGUAUGUAUUUUAAAUAUAUCUUUAUAUGUUUUAAAUAUUUCACAAUAUCUAAAUACACAUUACAGUAAAAAA